GCCCUGCUCAUAUCUCUAGUUCAGUGGGUAAUCACUGAGAAUCAAAGAAAGCUUGCCAUGAGCCUUCCUCCAAGGAGUUAUGUCUCAGUUUACCUGAGAGCCAUGAGGUUCAUAAUGUAAAUAUAUCAAAGAUUUGAAGGGUUGUCCUGUACCUUUAGUGUUCAGAUUUGUGAGUCUGAAUAAAAAGGCUGCACCCCAAUCAGGUCUGGUCUCCAACCAUGUACGGGUGAGAAGUCUUAGACAACAAGUCUGUGUCUGUGAGGCGUCAGGUAUCUGUGAAGGGAUGUGUACUGCAGUGAAAGUUGCUUUAAUCAUCCAGCACCAGAGGUUCCUUGUGUUUGGCUCACAUACAGUACAUCCAAGGAAUGGAGACAGACUGAGGAAAUCUCCAGACCAAGAUAUUUGAAGUCAAAGCUGUAACUGUCCUACACCCCAGCCAUCUCAAUUCCAUUUCAUCAACAUCAGGUGCAGCUCAUCACAAGUCCUCUGCUCAUCUCAUCCUGUAUAUCCUCACCACCACCACCUAUGUCCAGACUCCAUAAGGGGGGUGCCCUGCC